rnacentral:rRNA from 1 species
AACGAACGCUGGCGGCAUGCCUAACACAUGCAAGUCGAACGAUCCCUUCGGGGAUAGUGGCGCACGGGUGCGUAACGCGUGGGAAUCUGCCCUUGGCUUCGGAAUAACAGUUAGAAAUGACUGCUAAUACCGGAUGAUGUCUUCGGACCAAAGAUUUAUCGGCCAGGGAUGAGCCCGCGUAGGAUUAGGUAGUUGGUGAGGUAAAGGCUCACCAAGCCGACGAUCCUUAGCUGGUCUGAGAGGAUGAUCAGCCACACUGGGACUGAGACACGGCCCAGACUCCUACGGGAGGCAGCAGUGGGGAAUAUUGGACAAUGGGCGCAAGCCUGAUCCAGCAAUGCCGCGUGAGUGAUGAAGGCCUUCGGGUCGUAAAGCUCUUUUACCAGGGAUGAUAAUGACAGUACCUGGAGAAUAAGCUCCGGCUAACUCCGUGCCAGCAGCCGCAGUAA